GAGAGAGGGAGGUGAUGAGCUCGACAGUGACUGGAGGGACCCGCAGGAGCUGGGCUGUCUUGUUGCAGCCACGGGAGAGGCUAUUUUUUUGCCGAAGGGAGCGUGGGAAAGAGGAGGCAGCCCCCCACCGCCCCAGCCAGCACCCCGCACCUCUUUGGCAUGUGCGCUCCUGCAGCGACUGGGAAGGUGAUUGUUCAGCAGAACUGCGUGGGAAGCAAUGCGAGCAGAGCCUGUGUGGAGCGAGAAACUCGUCAGGGCUGCUGAAAACACCGUAGAGAGGCCCUCUGUGGACUGAUUUGGCAUUACGAGCAGGUCCCAGCCAAGUAUCGACAAAUACCUUAACAACGUCGAAAGUAGCCUAUUUUAAGAGGAAAUAUGCAGAAGAAGAAGAAGAUUUACAUCAGGAUUACCAGGGGUAUUUUCCAAAACACCUGAUCCUGCCCGAAGACCGGACUUGUAUCUUGAAACUUUCUCUGCAGAAGCUCCAGUUCCUUGAAGAUCCUGAGAUCUACCUCCGCCGGUCCGUCUUGAUCAACAACCUGCUGCGGAAGAUUCACCUGGAAACGGAGAGGGAACGCUAUGAAUACUUUAAGGGGAGUCCGUGCUGCCGGACUGCCUACGCGGAUGCACGAAAACGGCUGAAGUUCAUGGUCCAAGAAUGCCGUUCUCAAUCCCUUUAUUACGAAGAGCUGCAUUCGUAUCAUAUCGUGCCUUACCCUACGGAGAAUGCCAUUUACGGAGUGGGCUACACGAGUGGCCACUUGGAGCAGAAUUCUCAGUUGCUUAUUUAUAAGAUGGAGUAAAGGUCGUGCUUUCUUUUCUUGUAGACCUGCUGGUUGUUUUGCUUCUGAGCAGCUAGGAGGGCUUCUUAGCCUGCUACGGCGAGGCGCUAGCUGCAACUGUAGGGAGAGGUCAAAGGUUAGUGCGUCACCUUAGGCUGCAAUGAUGGUUGCUCUGGGCGAGCUUUGGCCAGCUUGGUUGCAAACAUCGCUCAGCGUCCACUUGGAACUGGUGCAAUAGGGAGGUUCCUCAGAAGCAGAGAGAGAUCUUGUGCUCAGCGAUCAGUGGCUUUUUGAUUUGUCCGUUAUGUAUAUAGAUGAAUUAACAUUAGCAGCUUAACUAGACCACCCUUGCUUAGGAAACGUAAACUGACGACAGGAGACUAAUCCGUUAGUGAGGUUUUUGGUGAGAAUCAGAAAGGGCGGGUGGGAUUGACUUCUCAAAAGGGUCAAGAAACAAGCUUUCAUUUUAAGGGAGUCCUUCGGCACCGAAGGGUUCUCUGCCGUUACAGAUAUGGAUUCCUUUUCACGCUUUUUUUGCUUAGGGUAUUCCAUGCUAUUAACUGUUCUGAGAUUGUUCUGCUUAGCCAUUCAUUUGCUGGCUCGCUGACUUUGCCAGCAUACAUGGUUCCUUGUUUUGCUUGGCACUUCUGACUUUGUGUAACUUCAGUGAAUUUGGUGAGCCAGAAAAACGCAUUCGCCCCGUGAUCACCGCUUUCUAAGAGAUCCUCUUUGAGUUCCUGUCAAACUGAUAUGACGGUUCAGUGGCAGGGUGCUUAUCAGUAUUAAUGCUUUGGCAGGUCGUUGUGUGUGUGUGUGUGUGUGUGUGUGUGUGUGUGUGUGUGUGUGUGUGUCUGUGUGUGAUUUGGGGGACAAAUAUAUGUUUGAUUCAGUGAACCAUACGAGGCAGUUGUCCCAGUGUUCACAGUUGAUGAAGGCAGCCAGCUGAAGCUUAGGAAAUGUCUUCUACGACCCUCAAGCAUGUCACGCAAAGGAAGAUGGCAAAAAGAUCAACAAAGAUUGGUGAGGAUGCCAUUGCUGCCCAUGGUGUGUGGUGAAAUUGCCAAAGAGAAGUAUUAGACAGGAGGGUGCAAGAGGCCGCAGAACCCAAAAUGAGGAAUGCACCAAGUCCCGGUUGACACUACAAGCUCAUGGCAGAUUUGUACCAAUUUUUACUCUGGACUUCUGCUAAAGUAUCUUGGGAACUUUAGUUUGCUGAGGUUUUUGUUAUCAGUUCCUACUACAGUUCCCACAGUUCCCUAGGGAGGCAGAGUCAGUAGGAGGCGGUAACAGGGCCUUUCCUUUGGGCUUACGUCAAAAUUAAACUCAGAGAAGAAGCGAGUUCAAGACCAAAUCCACACCACACAUUUAAAGCGCAUUUAUACCACUUUAACAGUCCCAAGAAAUCCUGGGAACUGUAGUUUGUUAAGGGUGCUGCAAGUUCCUAGGGGACCCUUGUUUCCCCCCGCAGAAUUAUAAAUCCCAUAGUUCCCUGGGAAGAGGGCUUGACAGUUAAACCACUGAGGGAAUUGCAGUUCAGAAUAGGGGUCUCAGCACCUUUAGCAAACUACACUUCCCAAGAUUCCUUUGGGGAAAGCUGCGGCUGUUCAAAGAGGUCUGAUAGUGCUUUAAAUGCAUGAUGCAGAUGUGGCCUACAUCUGCAGUGUGGGUGAGCCUUCCAGUCUAGGGAAGUUUCUAUCUGAACCUUUGAAAGUUGCAUCAUUCAGCAUUAAACGACACAACAUUUCCCUGAAGAUGCACUGCUGAGAUGAAGUCCUUAUUGUGCUGUUCCAUGGCUCCUACUGAAUUUCCUUCGGGUUUAUGCGGGAGAACAAUCCAAAGGGUUGGGCCCUAAUGGGAUCCAUCAUUUGCAUGCAUAUGGAUCUCUUUGUUUGCAUUUGUACAUUGUAACUUUAUUUUAUUUUUAUUUUAAAGAAAGUUUAAGUUCAAGAAGGACUAAUACUGACAGAUGUUAUACGAGGGUGUCCUCUUAACUUCCGCAAGCAAAGCCAUCAUUCUUAUGCAAGGGGCAGUUAAAGCCGUCUCUGAAUGUUUCUUUUCUAGGGGGGCAAGUAAGAAAAAUCUUUAGCGAAGUCUAGCAAAGGGGUGGGGAGGGAGGGGACCAUCAUUCUGAGCCAACUUAAAAUGCCUCGUAUUUGCCUGUGUUUUUGCUUGUUUUUGCACACACAUCACUAGCUAACUCUAGUGGUGCUUGUGAGGAUUCCCAGCUGAUCGUGCGAAUGGACCUCACUGUGUGUCUGCUGGUGCUUGGCGAUGUGGAAAUCCUAUUCUGUGAUGCUUGCUCACACCCGAAUGCUACAGCCAGCGAAGGAUGAAUGUGCUUGAGUACCAGGGCUGGCGCCGACCCACACACUUGCGUAUUGCUUGUUCCACAACAUUUGUGUGGCACUCGGUUGCAAGAAAAUCCCAAACCGGUUUGCAAAGUGACCGAUGUCGAGGUCUGUUGAGAGCCAGGGGCAGAAUCAUAGAAUUGCAGAGUUGUAAGGGACCCUGAGGAUCAUCUAGUCCAACCCCCUGAAAAUGCAGGAAUAUGCAGCUGUACCAUAGGGGGGUUGAGCCUGCAAGCUUGGCAUCAUCAGCACCAUGCUCUAACCAACGGAGCUCUCCAGGGUAGCCAACUGGUUGCCCUCCAGGUACUGGCUCCUCUGCGCACUGUUAGCCUUAACUGACCUUACAUUUCUCGUGCUUUGAUGCCGCUUUGCACAGAGGCUGCCUCUGUACUGCCUCUGCACAACUCAAUAAUAAUGUUGAGCGCCGCGCUUUAGGCAUCUGAGAGUGUAUAAACAGUUUGCCAUCUCGGCUGGGGGCAUUGGAGACUGAAGUGUGCCUAGGAGGAAAGUGGCUAUUUAGCGUUCAGUGGAAUGUUGCAUGUUUUUCCUGCUUUCUUCCUUUAAAAAAAUAAUGACUUAUAAAUAAGGAACUUGAGGACAUCAGCCCUUUUCCUACUGAUCGCAGUGUGUUCGGAAUAUUGGCAAUCCCUAUGUAGUUAGAGUCAGCAGUCAAAUUCAUGCUGGCAGCAAUCAGCCCUGGUGGUUUCCCUUUUUACCACUGAAUCAGCGGAGGCUGGUUUACUUAGGGCAAAUGGGGCACUGCCCACCAACCUUAGAGUGCCCACAGCCAACCCUUCUUGCCUACAACCAGUCUAGGGGGGUGGCUCUGGCUGUCUGCUUCCUCCUCUAUGUUGCCCCUUCUUCAGCUCAGCAGACAGGAGGAGGGGGACAAAACAUAGAAUGACUCUGCCAGCCAUUGGCUCUGGCGCCACCUGCUGUUAGUCUCCUUGCCUUCUGCCCUACCAGUCCCAAUGGACAUCAGCCAUCAUUGCACUGAAUGUAUCUGUUGGCAGCUCUGGCAUGUUCCAAGGAAAAUUAAAUGAAGUGUCCCAAGUUGUUGGCUUCCAUUGCUAUUACCGUUGUGUACAUCCCAGUUUCCAACCGGUGAGAGAUGCCAGGGGUUCCAGUGCUUACCCAGGUUUCAGUUUCCUUGGAAUGAAGUUACAGAUAGGUGAUGGUGUCUUUGGGAUGUAUGGCUUUAUUUACGCAUAUAUACAACCUGUGCAUGGCAUGGAACAGCUCACAGCAGCAACAACCCAGCAUAUCUUGCUCCUCCAUUAGGUUUCCAGGGAGCCGGGAGCCACAGCUUUGGGACCAGCACAGAUCAAGACAAGCCUCUGUUUCUCCAACUUCCAGCAUCAGCCAAAACUCUGUCCUGAUCCACAGGCCCAACAGAGGGACUGUGUGCAUGGUUUGGUGCAGGGAUACCAAAGAAGGCUAUUGAAAACACCAGAGGGAUCAAUUCUAGUGCUUUAUUAUAAGAGGUCUAAACUGACAACACAGCCUGCAAAGUCUCGCUGCCGUUACAGACACAGGUCAAACAGCAGAGCAGUAAGAGGCCAUCAUGAAUUGUCUGCAAAGUGCUGAUAUUUUAAGUAUUAUUUAUACACAAAGGAAGCUAUGUAGGCUGGCAUCAAUAGCCCUAUUAACUCACCCCUGGCUUAGAGGACCCUUCCACCUCUCAGAUAAAGGAGUAUCUGAGGAGCAGCCAGCUUGAGAAGCUCCCUUGUCCCCACUAACCGAAAGAAACAAAUGCUCCCAAGCUCCCAAGCAGAUUAGCAUUUGUGAGAUAUUCUUGCAGCAAAUCACAGUUAGCCCCCAGCUUAGCUUGACUACCAAGAUGGUGUUUGCAGACCUUCUGACACAGAUUCCCCAGUGGUCCUACCCAAACUCACAAGCAGAAACACACAGUCACCCUUCGCCUAUUGCUCUCCCUUCCAGAAGGAUGUGGCAUCCAAUUAGGUGAUGUGGGAAAACAUUCAUGGAAGCAGGGCAACCACUUUGGACAUGUAAAUGGAGGUACUUAACUGGCCAGAUAAGCUCCUUAACAGAUGAGCAGGUUUGGCUGGUUCAGCAGGUUUCCUGUUACUCUUUCUGACCUCACAGGUCACAGGUUUGGAAGGGACCUGCAGGUGUCAUUCAUACUGACCCCACAGAUCUAUUAUUAUUAAGCAUCUUGAAGCCAUUUCAUGAUACAAUAAAACAUACGCAUAUAUAAAACAAUUGCAUAUAUAAAAACAGCUGAACCAACUGCAUAGCCACCUCCUCUCUCCAGUCAUUAUAAGAUAACCCUUUAGUGUGGCUAUUCAUCAUGAAUUGUUGUGAAUGGGUAGCGUGUUGCCAUCAGAACUGCAUCCAAAAUCAAAUAGUCUGGCAGAACAAUUAAGGGUUCCAGCCAACUUUAAUCCGACUCAUUGAAAUCAACGGACGUGGCUAACUUAGGUACAUAAAUUUCAGUGGGUCUACUCUGAGUAUAAAUCAUAGUCUCAUGGAAUGCCUAAAAGACUAGGUGCAAUUUCUCAGAGCAGGGUUUGCAUGUCUACAGGAUGUCAUCUGCAAUGGAACUUGAAGCCCUUCUGGCAGUUCUUCCUUAGGGGAAACAUCUGAAGAGCUUCAAGGAAAGCUAAAAUAGUUUCAAGUUGAACAGUGACAUGUCUCCUUAGGGUAGUGCUAAGUUUUCUUCCAAGUUGCCAUUCUACAGCUCUGUUUAGCAUUGCCAUCUUAGAGUGCUGGUCUGUGGGCUAGUCAGAAACCAGUAACCUGUUCACAGGGAGUUUGGCCCCAACUCAUAUCAUCUUGAGCAGGGGGUGGGAACCUCUGGUCCUCUAGAAGUUGCUGAACUACAACUCCCAUCAGCCCCAGCAUGCAUGGCCAAUGGUCAGGGGUGAUGGGAAUUGUAAAGGUAGGAGAUUGCAGUUUCCCUUACUUUGUGUGAGAAGAGGCAUGGAUUUUCCCUAAGGGUGACUAUUACACAGACCAAAGCCAUUUCUUUGGUCCACAAAAGUUGAGACUACCUGGACAAUUUGGGGAAGGGGAGAAGACACAUGCCAAAUUUGCCAUUUUGGAAAGGUGGACGCUAUCAACAUUUCUGUUUUGCUCUGUGGCAAUGCAAAAGUCGUCAGUGUGGUGAAUCUUGUUACACCUCAAUUUCAGGUCGGAAGCUAUGAAUGAGCUGUUAUUCUAGAAAACCUGUAUCUUGCUCGCUCUUUUCCCCCCCUUUCGCUCUUUGCUGUGGUUGCUGAAUGUGUGUGGUUGAGUAUAUGGAAUAUUGUGCCUUAAAGUUCCCUUAUCAUGUGAGCCUUCAAUUCUUCUCUGUGAUAACUGUAAAAAGCGUGCUACAGCCGAGGAUGAUUUGAUGCUCUGUGAAGAUCCAUGCUUGGUCCUUGGGUCUACCCUAAAAAGCCAUUGUUCUGUACAAAACUCUGAUAGGACUUCAGACUGUAAUCAGAGCAGACCUGGACCCAAAACUCCACAUACAUAUUGAGACCUAGGCCACAUUCACACCAUGCCUGUAUUAUGAUACUGCUUUAAACAGUCACUGCUUUCCCCAAAUAAUUCUGGGAGCUGUGGUUUGUUAAGGGUGCUGAGAACUGUUAGGAGACCCCGUUCCCUUUGUGGAUCUACAGUUCCCAGAGUGGUUUCGCAAUCAAUCCCUCUUUCCAGGGAAUUGUAGCUCUGGGAGUGGAAUUGAGGUCUCGUAACAACUGUCAGCAGCCUUAGGAAAUGACAGCUCCCAGAAUUCCUUGGGAGAAGCCAUGUUUGUUUAAAAUGGUCUCAUAGUGCUUUAAAUGUAUGGUUUGAGUGUGGCCCUAUUCUGUUUUACUUUUUGCAUUUCUGCUACCAUUUUGCAACUUCAACUGUAGCUACAAUUGAUUUCCACGUACAAUGGGCAAGAACUGAAAUUUAAUUUGGCCAGGAAACACAGGAUCUGCUUUAUGUUCCUUUUCUUUUAUGAGCUGCUUGCAUUCAUGGGGACUGCGUCUGUUUGCAUGUACCUUUGCCAGAGCCACUGAUUCCUGGAGAUUAAAACGGUUAUCUCAUUUUAAAAUCUCCUAGGUGUUGCCUCUUCCUCACCACAAACCACAGCUGCAGAAAACAGCCUUUGUAAGCGGUGUCAAAGAUAUCACUGGCAAUUUGAUAGGAGUCGGGCUGUGGAUAAUGCCACAAACAAACAUCUUAGCCUCUAAGGUGCCACAAGGCUCCUGCUAAAAUGGCUUGUGACCCCGUUUGUCAAUCAAUCACCCCAUUAGCUUAUUAAGAAGUUGCAGCCCUGGAUGGUAUCAGAAAUGCAACAAUGCAUUUGCUAGAUAACAGAAUGAAUAGGCCUUGAAUUCAGAUGUCGAGGUGGUGUGGGUUGGGUUUGAUUUUUUUUAUGGCACUUUGCUGGAGUGACUUUUUGUGUGUGUUGUACAAUCAACAUUUUGGACUACUUGAGAUCUACCGGAAAGGUUUUUAUGCUUUUCUUCUUAUUUUCUCUCUUUCUCUCUUUUUUUUAAGUGAACGGUGGGUGGGUGGGAAAUAGAUGUAUUUUAAAAUAUAAAUAAAUAAAUGAAUAUAUAUAAAUACAUGUAUAUGUGCAUGGUCUUA